UAGGAGAUGUCAGCGUCUUCUGGCUGAGACUGUGCAAAAGUCUCAUUUGCUAUCCGUAAGACUCAAAACCCAAUAGCAUCCAGUGACUAUCGUCAUCACCUUUAACUUUCCCGAAGAUGUUAGCAUUUUACGGCCGAGACAGCGAAAAAGUCUCAUUCGAUAUCCGUAAGACUCAAAGCCCGAUAGCAUGCAGUCAAUAUCGCCGUCACCAGUACCUUUC
rnacentral:misc_RNA from 1 species